rnacentral:misc_RNA from 1 species
UUUCCGUAGGUGAACCUGCGGAAGGAUCAUUAACGAGUUAGGGUCUUCCAGGCCCGACCUCCCAACCCUAUGUUUAUUGAACCUCUGUUGCUUCGGCGGACCCGCCUCACGGCCGCCGGAGGACCGCUGCAAGGCGUCCUCUGGCCAGCGUCCGCCGAUGGCCAACCACUUAAACUCUGAAUGAAUCGUGUCAUAUGUCUAAGUCUAUGAUUAAAUUAAAGCGAAACUUUCAACAACGGAUCUCUUGGUUCUG